rnacentral:rRNA from 1 species
ACGGCUCAGUAACACGUAGUCAACAUGCCCAGGGGACGUGGAUAACCUCGGGAAACUGAGGAUAAACCGCGAUAAGUCAUUACUUCUGGAAUGGGUAAUGAUUAAAAUCUACAUGGCCCCUGGAUUGGACUGCGGCCGAUCAGGCUGUUGGUGAGGUAAUGGCCCACCAAACCUGUAACCGGUACGGGCUCUGAGAGGAGGAGCCCGGAGAUGGGCACUGAGACAAGGGCCCAGGCCCUAUGGGGCGCAGCAGGCGCGAAACCUCUGCAAUAGGCGAAAGCCUGACAGGGUUACUCUGAGUGAUUUCCGUUAAGGAGAUCUUUUGGCACCUCUAAAAAUGGUGCAGAAUAAGGGGUGGGCAAGUCUGGUGUCAGCCGCCGCGGUAAUACCAGCACCCCGAGUGGUCGGGACGUUUAUUGGGCCUAAAGCAUCCGUAGCCGGUUCUACAAGUCUUCCGUUAAAUCCACCUGCUUAACAGAUGGGCUGCGGAAGAUACUAUAGAGCUAGGAGGCGGGAGAGGCAAGCGGUACUCGAUGGGUAGGGGUAAAAUCCGUUGAUCCAUUGAAGACCACCAGUGGCGAAGGCGGCUUGCCAGAACGCGCUCGACGGUGAGGGAUGAAAGCUGGGGGAGCAAACCGGAUUAGAUACCCGGGUAGUCCCAGCUGUAAACGAUGCAGACUCGGUGAUGAGUUGGCUUCUUGCCAACUCAGUGCCGCAGGGAAGCCGUUAAGUUUGCCGCCUGGGGAGUACGGUCGCAAGACUGAAACUUAAAGGAAUUGGCGGGGGAGCAC